rnacentral:lncRNA from 9 species
GGAAUGUUUGGGAAAUCCUGGGUUACCUAGAUUUCCUUCCGAAGAGAGUGCUUUGUAGAACAUGAACACAUGCUGUGGGUCUCUGAGAGGGGGCUACAGAAUACACCCCUUCCCUCCAUUUUGUGACCACAGAAUCUUUUUUUCCUCCUCUAAGUAUCCCAAGAGACUGUGGAUUCGUGCAGCUGAGAAACACUGAGCUAAAGUAUUCAUCAGAGAAAAGCACUACGUGUGGAAUCAUUUUCACCUUCGAGCCAGGCUUCUGGCUUCAGACUGGAUCCUCUCAGCCUUUUGUCAUGUGAUAUUUAUUGAGCACCUAUUGGGUGCCAUCAGUUUGCUCAGGAGCUUUGUAGAAGGAGCCCUGUAAGAGAUGCGUAUUCCAGGCGCACAGUCAGAAGCCAGCCAGACAAGCCCAGAAAGGAGUACCACAUUGAUUCAUGACCAGACCUGCCGAUUUCCCACUCAUCCUAAUCAUUCUUCUAAGGAGGGGCUCCAGGUUAUUUAUGUCUCAGUCAAAAUUCCCAGUUGCCAGCAAGAAACAGACUUGGGCCAUCUUCAGCAUAAAGGAAUUUAUUAGAAGGACAGCAGAGUUCUCAGAAUGGAGAGGUGGUUUGAAAACCAAGCUUAGGAAACGGGUGAGAACCAAGGGCUUUCUGUGGCACCAGGCAGCUGGGGCAGCGUGGUCACUGUGACCACACACCUUCAAGUGCUCCUCGUGUCCUUGCUUCACAGCCUUAAGAUUCAAACUCCUGGGAAACAGAAUCUGUUUGGCUUUGCCAAAGGCAAUAUUAGCUCCAGGCUUCAGUGGUGGGAAGAAGCAUGACCUGACCCUUUUAGUCUUAAAAAAAAAAAAAAAAAAAAAAAAAGGCAAAUGUUUAUACACAUUUAUUAAUUCUCUAAAUGGCUUUUUUUUUUUUUUUUUUUGCCAUGCCCAUGGCAUACAGAAGUUCCCACACCGGGGAUGGAACCUGCACCACAGCAGCUACCCAAGGCCCAGCAGUGACAAUGCAGGAUCCUUAACCCACUGAGCCACCAGGGAACUCCUAAAUGGCACUUGUUAAUUUGUUACCAUGCCAUUCAAGUGGAAGCUCACCAUUGUUCAAUGGGGAGUCGAUUAUUGCACCAUCCUUAGGCUCAAACCAAGGCUUGUAUUUUCCAUAAAUGAACUCUCCAAAAUAGCAAAUACUCUCAAGAAGUGCUUCAAUUGGAUAUUCUGUUUUUUUGUUUGUUUGUUUGUUUGUUUUUUGGCUUUUUAGGGCCGCACUUGCAGCACACAGAAGUUCCCAGGCCAGGGGUCGAAUCAGAGCUGCAGCCACAGGCCUAUACCACAGCCACAGCAACUCGGGAUCCAAGCUGUGCCUGGGACCUAUACCACAGCUCAUUGCAAUGCUCCACUGAGCAAGGCCAGGGAUCAAAGCUGAAUCCUCACGGAUACCAGCCAGAUUUGUUUCCACUGAGUCAUGACAGGAACUCUGGAUAUUUUGUUAAUUUACCAAUAAUCAUCUUCUAAUGCCUUCUGUUAGGGAAAAGUAGGUGACUGUAACACGAGCAGAAAAAUACUGCUUGCCAUCCUCUGAAUUUUUAAUGUAUUUGAUUUAUAAAUUAAUCCUUCAUUUCAUUAAUUAAAGCAGUGAGG